GUGUCACCAUGGGAUCACCAGGAGUCACCACGGGAUCACCAGGAGUCACCAUGGGGUCACCAGGAGUCACCAUGGGAUCACCAGGGGUCAUCAUGACAGCACCAGGAGGUCACCAGGGGAUCACCAGGAGUCACCAUGGGAUCACCAGGAAUCACCAUGGGAUCACCAGGAUCUCACUAUGGGAUCACCAGGAGUCACCAUGGCAGCACUGGGAGUCACCAUGGCAGCACCAUAAGGUCACCAUGGGAUCACCAGGAUCUCAUUCACCAUGGGAUCACCAUCAUCUCACCAUGGGAUCACUAGGAUGUCACCAUGGGAUCACCAGGAGUCACCAUGGCAGCACUGGGAGUCACCAUGGGAUCACCGGGAAUCACCAUGGGAUCACCAGGAGUCACCAUGGGAUCACCAGGAUGUCACCAUGGGAUCACCAGGAUGUCACUAUGGGAUCACCAGGAUUCCACCAUGGGAUCACCUGAAUGUCCCCAUGGGAUCACCAGGAGCUCAUUAUGGGAUCACC
rnacentral:lncRNA from 1 species